rnacentral:misc_RNA from 1 species
GAUGAAGAACGGAGCGAAAUGCGAUAAGUAAUGUGAAUUGCAGAAUUCAGUGAAUCAUCGAAUCUUUGAACGCACAUUGCGCCCGCUGGUAUUCCGGCGGGCAUGCCUGUUCGAGCGUCAUUUCAACCCUCAAGCUCUCCGGAGUUUGGUGUUGGGGCGCCUGGGGCUUUUCGACCUCAGGGCCCUCAAGUCCAUCGGCGGGACCGCCAGGACACUGAGCGCAGUAGUAUUAUUUCGCUCGGUAGGAUCUUCCACGGCGGGUCGAUCUGGCCGCUAAACCCCCCAAUUCUCACCAAAGGUUGACCUCGGAUCAGGUAGGAAUACCCGCUGAACUUAAGCAUAUCAAUAAGCGGAGGA